UAGGGCCACAGGAGAAAGAAGGGUGGAACUCAGGAUAUUGCAGUCAGAGCUUCUUGAAGUUGCUCCCAGUGGGGCAGAAGGCACAGCUGAUGGGAUAUUCAGUGGAUGUGGGGGUGCAGAAGGGGUGGGGAAUAGCAAGCCACUGUGGAAGGAAACAGGAAAACUCCAACUCUGCCAAGUUAUUGUGCUGUUUCUACUGUCUCCCCAACCCCCACACCUCCACUGUGGUCACGGUUCAUCACGUACGAAGCUCGGUGUCUAUCCCAACAUUGGCUAGGAGGACAGCUCUGCGGGCUUAACUCUGUUCUUUCACCUUUCGGUGGGUUACUGGAAUGGCAUCGACAUCUUCAGGCUUGCUAGGCAAGUGCCUUCAUCUGCUGAGUCAUCCCAGAGGUCCAGCUCCAACUAUCUGGAUAGCACAAUUAUCCAGUAAAUGGUUCCUCAGAUCCACAAAUGAAUACCCACAUGGAAACUCUUCUCCCAAACAGAUUUUAGGGUGCCUGAUGGUUGUCAACUAGAUUAGGUCAGGAAAUACCUGGCAGGUUAGUAAAACUCAAGGUGAGGCGUUUGUAAACAGUUAGAUCCUGAGGGUUCUGAUUUAAUCAAUGGGAGAUGGUAGGAGGUAGAAGACUGAAUGAAGGCAAUGAGCCCCUGGGGUUUGUGCCCCUGAGCCCUCUAUCUCUGGCUUCCUCCUGAAUCUAUCUUCUCACUGAUUUCUUCCUAUGCUCCCUCUGUGGUAGGUGCCGUUAGAGACAGAGCCUAGGCCUUGACUCCCACACCACUAAAACGACAAGUAAUAAUGAGAAGUGAAAGAUUUAUUUUGCAUAACCGCAACAGGAAGAGAAACAAAUUACUGGUUCAAUUUCUGCCCAGACUUCCAUUAAUGGCAGACAAUGAUGGGGAAGCUGAAGUGAAGUGUGUCUUUUGUGGUACCCAGACUAGGAAAACCCCAGAGACCACCUGGAACCAUAACUCCCAUGCAAGCACAUGCUGGGCACUUCCUAGGCUGCAAGACACUCCAGGGUCCAUCUUUGAAGGUAGAAAUGAGUCUCCUUGAAGCUGUUCUCCUGGAGGCUGCAGAAUGAGCUCAUGUUAUUGAAAUUACCAGAGAGAGUGGAAGCAGAGAGCCAAUGACUUGUUGGGACUUAUUCUGAGAUGUCGACACAUUAGAACUGAAAGUAAAUCUCCAUGGAUACUCUUUAUCAUACCUGUGUACAGAGUAGGUCAAGGCACAUAGCCAAGGCUCGAUUCAAGACUAAAAUCUAGACCAACCCAUCAAACACAGAAGUGGAUGCUCACAGUCAGCUAAUGGAUGGAUCACAGGGC
rnacentral:lncRNA from 1 species